CCUACGGGUGGCAGCAGUGAGGAAUAUUGGUCAAUGGGCGCGAGCCUGAACCAGCCAAGUCGCGUGAGGGAGGACGGCCCCACGGGUUGUAAACCUCUUUUGCCGGGGAGCAACGGGCGUCACGUGUGGCGCCACUGAGAGUACCCGGAGAAAAAGCAUCGGCUAACUCCGUGCCAGCAGCCGCGGUAAUACGGAGGAUGCGAGCGUUAUCCGGAUUUAUUGGGUUUAAAGGGUGCGUAGGCGGAUCGUUAAGUCAGUGGUCAAAUUGAGGGGCUCAACCCCUUCCCGCCAUUGAAACUGGCGCUCUUGAGUGGAAGAGAAGUAUGCGGAAUGCGUGGUGUAGCGGUGAAAUGCAUAGAUAUCAGGAGGAACAUCGGUGGCGUAAGCGCUUUACUGGGCCGUAAUUGACGCUGAGGAACGAAAGCCAGGGUAGCAAAUGGGAUUAGAUACCCUUGUAGUC
rnacentral:rRNA from 1 species